UUUAUAUAUAAUCUAAACCAUUCUCUGACACAUCACUAACCCAGACCGUCUCUAACUUUACUUGCAUGCAGCCGCUCCGCGCCGUCGCCUGCCGCAGUACUGCAGCCGCUGGGCCGCCGGCCGUUUUACACUCAUCGAUGGGUUCCGCUUUGUGAUUGGCUCCCAGGCCCAGCAACGCUGCUAUCUGAAGUGUUCAAGCUUCCGCAGCAAGUGUCGAGCCCGGGCUAUACUGAAUAAGGCGAAUGGAAAGGUUCAGCUACGCCACGGAGCACACAAUCACACACGGGGCCAGCAGCAGCAGGCCAUGGCGCGGCGUAAUUCGAAGGAUUGAGCAAGUACCAAUCUCACUCUUACCAAAUAAACAAGAAGGACAGGGACAGGUGCUGGCCGAGUAUGUUCGGUCGAGGCGCGGCACCGGCCUGGUCUACUACGAGGGCAACACCUACACGCCCAACGAGAAGCUGCGCGAGGGCCAAAAGAGCCGUGAUUGGAAAUGCUCCAUGUACCACAAGGCCAAGUGUCGGGCCCGUCUCGUCACGCGUCACACACGAAUUGGAGAUCUCAUACACGUGACCAGCAGAUUGCACACGCAUCCCAGGAUGUACGACCACCUGUACAAAUCAGAAGACAAAGACUCACGCAAGCUCUUCCCAAAGCUUAGUCCGCACAAGAAAGAGUCCAAGUAGCCGCCACAUCGUCUCGUUUAAGACACAACACAGACCUGCGCCUACAACUAAAAUAAAUCAUUAUAACAUAAUUAAUUCGUAGCCAUUGGCAAACAUUUGCCAGUGCAGUAUGUAUUGGACGAAGCCGGCAAGACAAUGAAAAUGAGUCCGGUGUCCAUCAGGUUCAUCGAAGGACAACGAAAGUCGGUGCAGCUGGUGUGUGGAAACUAUGCCUAUGCCAAGAACAACAAACACGGCGGCACCACCUACUGGAACUGUCGCAGCCGACGCCACGGGCAGGAGUCGUGCAAGGCUCGCCUCUCUACCAGACACCACUCGAACGGCCGGUUCAUAGUACACCUCACCCAACCGAAGCACAAUCAUCCGCCCAGCAAGCGCAUUAAUCGAAUACUCAGCAAGAGUCUCUAAGAAUCUCUAGUAGACAGUAAGCCUAGAUCGUAAGCAGAAAAUAUAAAUGAGGCCCGCGUGAGGGCAAAGAGCA
rnacentral:misc_RNA from 1 species